CACGUAGGGGGCGAGCGUUGUCCGGAUUUAUUGGGCGUAAAGAGCUCGUAGGCGGCUCGUCGCGUCGACCGUGAAAACCCGCGGCUUAACUGCGGGCUUGCGGUUGAUACGGGCGGGCUAGAGUUCGGUAGGGGAGACUGGAAUUCCUGGUGUAGCGGUGAAAUGCGCAGAUAUCAGGAGGAACACCGGUGGCGAAGGCGGGUCUCUGGGCCGAUACUGACGCUGAGGAGCGAAAGCGUGGGGAGCGAACAGG
rnacentral:rRNA from 1 species